CCCCAACAAGUUUCAGAAUGUUACAAAAAAGUAAAUGUAGUAUAACUCGAUCGUUUGGACUCCAAUGAUGCACGGUCAGAAGCUACGGAUUUUUGGCAUCGACGGGAAUCAUAUCAAGUGAGAAUAAAUAUAUCAGCUCUUCAUAACAGGUGGGGAUCUAGGAUUAUUUCCUGCUUUAAAUCGUAGAACUGAAUGUAUGAUGUCAACAAUCCAAAGAUUGGAUUUUGUGAUUAUAGAGCAGGGCUCUGGGGCGUGCAAUAGCUCUUGUUGCUAUUACAUGGCGUGUGUUAGCCAUCCGUCAGCAAUCUUCAUCUCAUCGACUUUUCCAACUUCUGGAACGUGCUUUGGAUUAUCCCUUGAUGUCGUAUGAAACCUGAAACGCACCAAAAACAUGAAAACAACAUCACACGAACCAAGGGCCAAGGGUAACAAAAUACGCAUAAAACACCCCGGAUAAGAUCAAAGUGAGACAUCUAAACAUCCAAAAUCUUCAUUUAAAAUGGGAAUAAUUGUGCUAAUAAUCGAGCUCGUCACAUACUCAACAGGUCGUGCCAGAGCCUGAUUAUAAUAUGAGGGAUUGCGCAAUCCAUGGGUGGGUGACCAACACAUAUCAAGAACUAAUCUAGCUAAACUUGAUCCUGCCCUAAUCAUGAACUGUGCAUCAUAGUUCAAAUGUCAAGAGCUUAUGCUUGAAUCAUAAAUGCAUGUAUAGUAGAUCACACGAUAUUGUAGAGUUUGAGAGCUCCACUCUAUAUCAUAUCAUAAGCACUUGUAAAGUAGAACACGAGUUACUGUACAGUCUCGGACCCCUGCUCUGUAUCAUAACAUACAUACCUGUAUAGUAGAUCAUACGCUAUUUUAUAGUCUUGAGAGUCGGGCUCUGAAUCACAUGAAAUCCAAUCUUUGGAUUCCUGACAACCUAAUUACAGUACUACGUUUAAAGUAGAAACCUGUUAUGAAGAGCUGACAACUCUGAAAAGACUUGAUAUGAUUUCUCUUGCUGCCACGAGUCUGUAGCUUAUGACCUUGCAUCGUUUGGAGUUCAAACGAUCAAGUUAUGCUUCAUUUACUCCUUUGCAACAACAAUCUAAAAAUGCACCGACAGAAAUGUUACGCUAGUCACCCAACUGCCUCCAUUACACUAACUGCUCCGGAACUUCUAGUCGUUGAUAAACAAACCCAAGUCCUUAAUUGUAAACCAUCAAAGAGUUCAGAACUACGGAAACAAGACUUAAGAAUUGUCAAUUGCACAACAACCACUUAUCUUUCAGGACUUGCAGAUCGGUUGCCGAACUCCACCAACUUUGCAGGACAAUCACUCUUCUUCUUCGGCGAGGUAGCUUACCGCCGGCGAGGCUGCCCAGAUUCCGAAGAGGGUUUCCGGCGACGACACACCUCACCCGCAGCCUGGAGUGCACCUCUGAUUCGUCUGCCUCGAUUUCCGAUCACCUAGAUCGUCAUUCGACCGCCAUGGCCGAUCGAUCGAGUAAGGCCGCCGCUGCCGUCGCCAGCUUCCAAGCACCGAUAUUGACCAUCAGAUCUCCUUAGAACUUUCGUCGAUCUCAUUCAAUCGCUAAUGGACCUACAUCGACGAGGAGCCUCAGCUCCUUCCUAGAUCGCGAU
rnacentral:lncRNA from 1 species